rnacentral:rRNA from 1 species
CUACAAAUGAAUUGACGGGGCCCGCACAAGCGGUGGAGCAUGUGGUUUAAUUCGACGCAACGCGAAGAACCUUACCAGGGCUUGACAUCCCCUGACCGCGUAUGAAAGUACGUUUUCACCCUCGGGUGACAGGGAGACAGGUGGUGCAUGGUUGUCGUCAGCUCGUGUCGUGAGAUGUUGGGUUAAGUCCCGCAACGAGCGCAACCCCUACGUUUAGUUGCUAACGCGUGAAGGCGAGCACUCUAGACGAACUGCCGUUGACAAAACGGAGGAAGGUGGGGAUGACGUCAAAUCAUCAUGCCCCUUAUGUUCUGGGCUACACACGUGCUACAAUGGCCGGUACAGACGGACGCAAAGCCGCGAGGUGGAGCAAAUCCUAAAAAGCCGGUCUCAGUUCGGAUUGCAGGCUGCAAUUCGCCUGCAUGAAGUCGGAAUCGCUAGUAAUCGCAGGUCAGCAUACUGCGGUCGAAUACGUUCCCGGGCCUU